AUCUACGGCCAUGCCACCCUGAACACGCCCGAUCUCGUCUGAUCUUGGAAGCUAAGCAGGGUUGGGCCUGGUUAGUAUUUGAGUGGUAGGCCACCGAAGAAGACCAGGUGCCAUAGGCA
rnacentral:rRNA from 1 species